GCCUGCUAGAGUUUGAGCGGAAGCUGAGGGAGAGUGGCAACGCUUGAGGCUGAAUCCUGCAGUCUCUUUCACCUGCUGCUCUUGAGCAGUUAGCAGUCAAAUUCGUGAAAAGAGUGAACCCAGAAAUAGAGAAGACAUGAAAGAGGAUGAAGAAAUGAAAAUACAUCGAAAGCAUUCAGAAAUCACCAGGAUACAGGCUGAAUCAUACUUCAGGCCCGGGGAGGUGGAAGUCAUUUUAAUCUUGGACCAGUUAAAGACCUCCGAAAAGGCCAUCUGAAGACGUGUCUGCUGCUCUUACUGAUGGGGCUCAUCAUUCCAACAAUUGCCCAAGGAUAUGAGGGACUUGGCCUGAUUCACAGGUGGCAGUUCCAGAAUGGAGAGCCAUGGCUCCAUGAGGAAAGUAGCUGUCCUGUGUCCAGCAAAUCACAAACCCUUCACAGAAGAAGGCAAAAGCAAGUCAGCAGCCCGGUGGGCUGAGCUACAGUCCCUAUUCCUGGCAGUAAGAGAACUGGAUGCAAGUAAAAUCCCCACAAUUACGUGCUUAUUGAAUCUUGAGUGGUUGCUUAUGGACUUGCAGUUUGGUCUGGUAAGUGGACAUAGAUAACUGAAUGAUAAAGGGACCCCUGUGUCACGUACCAUUCUUCAGAAAUCACUAUGGCAAUCCUGAGUGCAAAUCAAAGUAGAGCUCUUGCUCACCAAAGAAUUCCUUCUAGUUUCUGAAGGUGACUGAAAUAAAGUUGAUGCUCUAGUUCUAUCACUCGAAGUGGCAAAGUGGGCCCAGGAAAGGAGUAGACAUAGUGGAACUCAAGCCAUGCAGUGAUGGGCUGAAUGGCAAUAUAUACCACCGGGCUCUGCUGAAGUUCAAAUAGUUCAUAAAAUUAUGCUGCUUUCCAAUAGGAAAAGCAACAUUUGCAGCUAUUUCUGAGAAAUAUUCCUAGGGGAGAAGGUUCAGCACAUAGCAGGUUACACUGACUCUUUUCCUAUUCUUCCAAGAGGACUCGAAUGGAAUAUGCAUGUGUGAUAUUUAUUCUUGAUCUGCCUUUGUAUACCCAGCAACUGAAACCACUGCUGCUAAUGGUACCCAAGGACUGAACAAAAGAAAUAAAAAUACUGGGCCAGUUUGGUCCUCCUAGUUAUUGGGUUAGCCAAAAAGUGCCUUGAGUUUUUAAGUAAAAAUAAAAGACACGUUUUUCAUUUUCACCAAGAAGUAUUGAACAACAUAUUCACCCUUUGC